rnacentral:rRNA from 1 species
UGCGUAGACGGGAAUACAAGUUAGUUGUGAAAUCCCUCGGCUUAACUGAGGAACUGCAACUAAAACUAUAUUUCUUGAGUGUUGGAGAGGAAAGCGGAAUUCCUAGUGUAGCGGUGAAAUGCGUAGAUAUUAGGAGGAACACCAGUGGCGAAGGCGGCUUUCUGGACAAUAACUGACGUUGAGGCACGAAAGUGUGGGGAGCAAACA